rnacentral:ncRNA from 1 species
AGAUUUUUUAACGUGCUAUCCAGCGGCUUGAUAUACAGGCUGUUAUCUUUGAGCUGCACGUCCCCUUUGGCCGUCACCAGCUUGCCGUCCAGCGGGAUAUUGAGGUUCAGGUGCGCAUUAACCGCGCCGUCAAUCUGCAGUUCAUCAAGCGUCGCGCCAAGAGAAGUAUCCAGCGGCGUAUCCUGGAAGUACGGGCCCACUUCCUUACCCGGCCCCUGAAUAUCAGCAUCGAUCAGCAGUUUUUCUUUCGCGUAAUCCGGGAUAUCUGCGGUAAGGUUUUUCGCCGUCACGCCGCCAAGCUGCACGCUGUCGGCUUUCAUGAACAACCCGUCGUUAACGAAGUUGAGGUUGAUGUCGAGGUUGGUCAGCGCCGGCCAGUCCGGCUGGAAGGCGAAGGUUGCGUUGCGCAGCGGCAC